ACGCCGCGUGAGUGAAGAAGGUUUUCGGAUCGUAAAGCUCUGUUGUAAGAGAAGAACGAGUGUGAGAGUGGAAAGUUCACACUGUGACGGUAUCUUACCAGAAAGGGACGGCUAACUACGUGCCAGCAGCCGCGGUAAUACGUAGGUCCCGAGCGUUGUCCGGAUUUAUUGGGCGUAAAGCGAGCGCAGGCGGUUAGAUAAGUCUGAAGUUAAAGGCUGUGGCUUAACCAUAGUACGCUUUGGAAACUGUUUAACUUGAGUGCAAGAGGGGAGAGUGGAAUUCCAUGUGUAGCGGUGAAAUGCGUAGAUAUAUGGAGGAACACCGGUGGCGAAAGCGGCUCUCUGGCUUGUAACUGACGCUGAGGCUCGAAAGCGUGGGGAGCAACAGGAUUAGAUACCCUGGUAGUCCACGCCGUAAACGAUGAGUGCUAGGUGUUAGACCCUUUCCGGGGUUAGUGCCGCAGCUAACGC
rnacentral:rRNA from 1 species